rnacentral:rRNA from 1 species
UACGUAGGGCGCAAGCGUUGUCCGGAAUUAUUGGGCGUAAAGAGCUCGUAGGCGGUUUGUCGCGUCUGCUGUGAAAACCUAAGGCUCAACCUUGGGCUUGCAGUGGGUACGGGCAGACUAGAGUGCGGUAGGGGUGACUGGAAUUCCUGUGUAGCGGUGGAAUGCGCAGAUAUCAGGAGGAACACCGAUGGCGAAGGCAGGUCAC